GUGAAGCUGAGGAUAAGCUAGAAGCUGAACUUGAAUCUGAAUGUGAGCUAGAAGCCGAACUUGAAUGUGAGAAAGAUGCAGAGCUAUGACCCGUAGCACCACCUUGAUUUGUAGAAUUGGGUUUUGAGGAUUCGUCGGAACCCUUAGAAACCCCAGAUUUUAUAGAGGAACCGGAAUCCCCAGAACUUGUUGAAGACUUAGAAGUCACACCAGGACCUGAACCUUUAGAAUCAUUAGAAUCUGUAGUAGUGCCAGAACCUUCAAUAGUACCAGAAUGAUGAAAAGAAGCAGAAUGUGAAGCUGAAGUAGAAUGUGAGGAUGCACCAGAAGCCGAACUUGAAUGUGA